GCAAACUUGGUCAUUUAGAGGAAGUAAAAGUCGUAACAAGGUAACCGUAGGUGAACCUGCGGUUGGAUCAUUAUCAAUUAUAAUGGUUUCAAUAUUUUAAGGUUGAGUUAUAAUUUUGUAAUUCCCUUUUUAUAUUGAAAUUCAUCCACACCCUUUGUGCACUGUAAAUGUUUUUCGAGUACUUACUUUUUGUGAGUGCUCGGCAGUAUUAUAAACCCAUUUUUAAAUUUUGUCUGAUUUUUUCAUUAUAUGAAAAUAAAAACAACUUUUGACAACGGAUCUCUUGGCUCUCGCAUCGAUGAAGAACGCAGC
rnacentral:misc_RNA from 1 species